rnacentral:rRNA from 1 species
UACGGGGGGGGCAAGCGUUGUUCGGAAUUACUGGGCGUAAAGGGCUCGUAGGCGGCCAACUAAGUCAUACGUGAAAUCCCUCGGCUUAACCGGGGAACUGCGUCUGAUACUGGAUGGCUUGAGUUCGGGAGAGGGAUGCGGAAUUCCAGGUGUAGCGGUGAAAUGCGUAGAUAUCUGGAGGAACACCCGUGGCGAAGGCGGCAUCCUGGACCGAUACUGACGCUGAGGAGCGAAAGCCAGGGGAGCAAACGGG